rnacentral:ncRNA from 1 species
AAAAAGUUGAAGCUUCACUUAGAAGUCGGUUAAAUUUAUAUUUUACAUACAUAGCUUAAGUUUUAAAGAACAUCAAUCUUUGUAGUAGUUAAUUUUAUAUAUUUAGUAAUUUAAGAUAUAGUAAUAAAUUUAAGUAUUAACUAAAUUUGUGCCAGCAGUUGCGGUUAUACAAAUAAUACUUUCGAUUUUAGCGGUUAAGUAAUAACUUGUUUAUAAAUUUUAAUAUUUUUAUUUUAAGGUGAAAUUUUAAUAAAUUUUUAAGAUUUGAUGAUAAUAUGAAUUUACAUAAAUUUUUUAUUAGACCAGGAUUAGAUACCCUGUUAUUAAGAUUGUAGAGUUUAAGCCUGGAUUAGUAUAAGUUAAGUUCUUGAAAAUCAGAUAUUUUGGCGGUAUUUUUACCAAUCAGAGGAAUCUGUCCUGUAAUUGAUAUUCCACGGUUGGUUGGUCUUUUAUUAAACUUGUAUAUCGUUGUUAUAAGAAUGUUUUUAGAAAAUUUUAAUUUUCGGUGAAUAAGAGUUUAAGAGAGUUCAAAUCAAGGUGCAGUCUAUAGAAGUAGAGAUGGAUUACAUUAUAUUUAUAUGAGGAUUUAGGAUUUUAAGUUCUAAUAAAUUUGGAUUUGGGGGUAAUUCUAUCAAAAUUGAUAGGAUGAUUAAGGUACUAAAAUAUGCACAUAUCGCCCGUCGCUUUUGUUUUUGUAAUAAAAUAAGUCGUAACAAAGUAGAUUUACUGGAAAGUGGUUCUGGAAUGUC